GCUUUUACACAUCGUUUUAUAUACAAGAACCCGUGUAUAAUCUUCUAACAUGGGUUUUCUCCUUAUCAUAUGAGGCAUAUUAUGCGGAAACGGGAAAUUUCACUUGGUAACGACCGGCCUCAGUUUCGAAUAAUUUGCAUACCUGGAGAUGGAAGAUGUUUGUUCCGGUCUGUUGUUCAUGGUGCUAGCUUGAGAGAAGGGAAGCCAUCUCCGUCUGAGAGCUGUCAGAAAGAACUUGCGGAUGAGCUCAGAGCUAAAGUGGCAGAUGAAUUCAUUAGGAGGCGAGCAGACACUGAAUGGUUUCUUGAAGGUGAUUUUGACACGUAUGUUAAACAGAUGCGACAGCCCCACAUGUGGGGAGGAGAGCCCGAGUUGCUAAUGGCCUCCCAUGUCCUACAGUCGCCAAUCACGGUUUCCAUGUGGGAUAAGAGUUCUGGUAACCUCAAAAUUAUAGCUGAAUAUGGUCAAGAGUAUGGUAAGGAGAACCCCAUACGGGUGCUUUAUCACGGUUAUGGACAUUAUGACGCAUUAAGGAGUCCAAUUAGUAGUGCAGAAUCAAAGUUGCCUUUUAUGGGGAGAAAAUAUUAGGUCCACUGGGAAGAUUGCUGAAGUAGUUCUCUCAACCAAUGAAACACUGCCACCUAUGCAAGUGUGUGAGUGAGCUUUCUAAUUAGCACAAGGGGAAAAACAAAAAACAAAAAACUACCGAGAAAUGUCACAUAUGCAUAGAUGACAGUGUUUUAUUGCUCGGCAGGGCCAAAGAGGACCACGUCACCGGUCUUCUUGGUGGACCUAAUAAUUUCUACUUUAUAGGCACAAGAAAAGAUGAAGGGAUAGCUGCAAAGGAGUAUAGUCAUCUUUGAAAUCUUUAAGUGUGCUUUGUUGUAACAUGUUAUAAACAAAUUACACCGCCCUCCCCCAAAAAAGUUAUAAAUGAAUAGUAGUUUUAUUUGGUGUAGUAAAUUGAUGAUAUCAUUUCUUCAUGGAUUUGAAAUCACCUUUUAUCAAAUUCUAAUGUUUGUUCUGGAAAUUAAAAUGCCCAUUGUCACUCUCCUAUUUGGUUGGAGGGUCUACUAGUUAGAGUAACAAUGACCAAAUUAG